rnacentral:rRNA from 1 species
CGAAACGAAGUGAUCUAUCCAUGAGCAAGUUGAAGCUAGUGUAAGAACUAGUGGAGGACUGAACCCAUAGGCGUUGAAAAGCCCCGGGAUGACUUGUGGAUAGGGGUGAAAGGCCAAUCAAACUUCGUGAUAGCUGGUUCUCUCCGAAAUAUAUUUAGGUAUAGCGUUGUGUCGUAAUAUAAGGGGGUAGAGCACUGAAUGGGCUAGGGCAUACACCAAUGUACCAAACCCUAUCAAACUCCGAAUACCUUAUAUGUAAUCACAGCAGUCAGGCGGCGAGUGAUAAAAUCCGUCGUCAAGAGGGAAACAACCCAGACUACCAGCUAAGGUCCCUAAAUCUUACUUAAGUGGAAAACGAUGUGAAGUUACUUAAACAACCAGGAGGUUGGCUUAGAAGCAGCCAUCCUUUAAAGAAAGCGUAAUAGCUCACUGGUCUAGUGAUUUUGCGCGGAAAAUAUAACGGGGCUAAAGUAAGUACCGAAGCUGUAGACUUGCACACAACUUAGAUUAUUUAAGUUUAGAAUAUGAGAAACUAAGUUAUAUGUUUAGUUAUAUUUUUACUGAUUUUUAUAGAGUAAAGAUAGAAAUAAAACUUAGUAAAAUCAGUAAAAAUAUUCUUAGACUAAAGUUAAGUAGUUUAAGUUGUGUGCAAGUGGUAGGAGAGCGUUCUAUUUGCGUCGAAGGUAUACCGGUAAGGAGUGCUGGAGCGAAUAGAAGUGAGCAUGCAGGCAUGAGUAGCGAUAAUUAAUGUGAGAAUCAUUAACGCCGUAAACCCAAGGUUUCCUACGCGAUGCUCGUCAUCGUAGGGUUAGUCGGGUCCUAAGUCGAGUCCGAAAGGGGUAGACGAUGGCAAAUUGGUUAAUAUUCCAAUACCAACAUUAGUGUGCGAUGGAAGGACGCUUAGGGCUAAGGGGGCUAGCGGAUGGAAGUGCUAGUCUAAGGUCGUAGGAGGUUAUACAGGCAAAUCCGUAUAACAAUACUCCGAGAACUGAAAGGCUUUUUGAAGUCUUCGGAUGGAUAGAAGAACCCCUGAUGCCGUCGAGCCAAGAAAAGUUUCUAAGUUUAGCUAAUGUUGCCCGUACCGUAAACCGACACAGGUGGGUGGGAUGAGUAUUCUAAGGCGCGUGGAAGAACUCUCUUUAAGGAACUCUGCAAAAUAGCACCGUAUCUUCGGUAUAAGGUGUGGUUAGCUUUGUAUUAGGAUUUACUCCGAAAGCAAGGAAACUUACAACAAAGAGUCCCUCCCGACUGUUUACCAAAAACACAGCACUCUGCUAACUCGUAAGAGGAUGUAUAGGGUGUGACGCCUGCCCGGUGCUCGAAGGUUAAUUGAUGGGGUUAGCAUUAGCGAAGCUCUUGAUCGAAGCCCGAGUAAACGGCGGCCGUAACUAUAACGGUCCUAAGGUAGCGAAAUUCCUUGUCGGUUAAAUACCGACCUGCAUGAAUGGCGUAACGAGAUGGGAGCUGUCUCAAAGAGGGAUCCAGUGAAAUUGUAGUGGAGGUGAAAAUUCCUCCUACCCGCGGCAAGACGGAAAGACCCCGUGGACCUUUACUACAGCUUGACACUGCUACUUGGAUAAGAAUGUGCAGGAUAGGUGGGAGGCUUUGAGUAUAUGACGCCAGUUGUAUAUGAGCCAUUGUUGAGAUACCACUCUUUCUUAUUUGGGUAGCUAACCAGCUUGAGUUAUCCUCAAGUGGGACAAUGUCUGGUGGGUAGUUUGACUGGGGCGGUCGCCUCCCAAAUAAUAACGGAGGCUUACAAAGGUUGGCUCAGAACGGUUGGAAAUCGUUCGUAGAGUAUAAAGGUAUAAGCCAGCUUAACUGCAAGACAUACAAGUCAAGCAGAGACGAAAGUCGGUCUUAGUGAUCCGGUGGUUCUGUGUGGAAGGGCCAUCGCUCAAAGGAUAAAAGGUACCCCGGGGAUAACAGGCUGAUCUCCCCCAAGAGCUCACAUCGACGGGGAGGUUUGGCACCUCGAUGUCGGCUCAUCGCAUCCUGGGGCUGGAGCAGGUCCCAAGGGUAUGGCUGUUCGCCAUUUAAAGCGGUACGCGAGCUGGGUUCAGAACGUCGUGAGACAGUUCGGUCCCUAUCUGCCGUGGGCGUAAGAAGAUUGAAGAGAUUUGACCCUAGUACGAGAGGACCGGGUUGAACAAACCACUGGUGUAGCUGUUGUUCUGCCAAGAGCAUCGCAGCGUAGCUAAGUUUGGAAAGGAUAAACGCUGAAAGCAUCUAAGCGUGAAGCCAACUCUAAGAUGAAUCUUCUCUAAGCUCUCUAGAAGACUACUAGUUUGAUAGGCUGGGUGUGUAAUGGAUGAAAGUCCUUUAGCUGACCAGUACUAAUAGAGCGUUUGGCUUAUCUUUAAUAAAGCAU